rnacentral:antisense_RNA from 1 species
CUUUAUGGGUGGCUCGUGUGGGGAGCCGAAAGGCUCGCCGGUCCUGACCUGGUCUUCCAACCCGCACGUGUCCGCCCACCAUC